GGGGAGGGAGUGAAGUGGGGGUGGGAAGAGGCAGGACUGGAGUGGAGUGGGGGCGAGAAGAGGUGGGCCUGGAGUGGAGCGGGGAUGGGAAGAGGCAGGCCUGAAGCAUCCCCCAGCAAAGUCGGUGCCUGUUCUUCUCCAGGUAAGCUGCCACUGCUGCUGUGAAGGUGCUUCCUAGCAUCCUUGCCUGUAGCGGGCUGUGCCUGUGUGCGGUAAGCCAGGGGCACUUCCCAACCACAGUACAGUACUGUACAAUACAUAAUGCCU